rnacentral:rRNA from 1 species
UACGUAGGUGGCAAGCGUUAUCCGGAUUUACUGGGUGUAAAGGGCGUGUAGGCGGUUCUGCAAGUCGGGUGUGAAAUUUCCGGGCUUAACCCGGACGGGUCACCCGAAACUGCGGAACUUGAGUACUGGAGAGGAUAGUGGAAUUCCUAGUGUAGCGGUAAAAUGCGUAGAUAUUAGGAGGAACACCAGUGGCGAAGGCGGCUAUCUGGACAGUAACUGACGCUGAGGCGCGAAAGCGUGGGGAGCAAACAGGAUUAGAUACC